rnacentral:rRNA from 1 species
UACGAAGGGGGCUAGCGUUGCUCGGAAUCACUGGGCGUAAAGGGUGCGUAGGCGGGUCUUUAAGUCAGGGGUGAAAUCCUGGAGCUCAACUCCAGAACUGCCUUUGAUACUGGCGAUCUUGAGUCCGGGAGAGGUGAGUGGAACUCCGAGUGUAGAGGUGAAAUUCGUAGAUAUUCGCAAGAACACCAGUGGCGAAGGCGGCUCACUGGCCCGAUACUGACGCUGAGGCACGAAAGCGUGGGGAGCAAACAGG